CAAUAGCGUAUAUUUAAGUUGCUGCAGUUAAAAAGCUCGUAGUUGGAUUUCGGGUGGGAAUGGCCGGUCCGCCGUUUCGGUGUGCACUUGCUACGCCCCCCUUGCUGCCGGGGACGUGCUCUUGAGUUCACGCUCGGGACACGGAGUCGGCGAGGUUACUUUGAGUAAAUUAGAGUGUUCAAAGCAGGCCUACGCUCUGAAUACAUUAGCAUGGAAUAACACGAUAGGACUCUGGCCUAUCUUGUUGGUCUGUAGGACCGGAGUAAUGAUUAAGAGGGACAGUCGGGGGCAUUCGUAUUUCAUUGUCAGAGGUGAAAUUCUUGGAUUUAUGAAAGACGAACUACUGCGAAAGCAUUUGCCAAGGAUGUUUUCAUUAA
rnacentral:rRNA from 1 species